AAGUUAAAGUAAAGUUAAAAAAAAAAAAACAAAACAAAAGCAGGAAGCCAGAGAGGCUUCCUGCAUGCUUCUUCUUCUCCCAGUUCCCUUCUCUCGCCCUCUCUCACUCCUCUGUCUCCGCCUCUCUUUCUUCUUUUAUUUCUCGAUGAGUUUUUGGCGGAUCGGAAAAUGGAAGGUGCCGUUGGAUUCGUAACUCCGCCACCGACAUUUCCACUGGAGCAGAUUUGUCGUGGGAAUGACUUAGGCACUGCUCUUAGGGAAAGGGUCUGGGUGAGCGCCGCAGGUAUUUUUCGGAGUCCCUGUUGGCGUAGUUCAAGAAAUCAGGAUUUCUCAGGAUCGAGCUUGAGAGCUCGAGAUUUUAUAACAUUUUUGAAAGAUAUAAGAAAAAUGAUAUAUCUUUAUGUUAAUUUUAAUAUGUAUAUUUUAUGUUUUAUAAUUUAUGUUUUAAGUCAGUUAUGAAAGGAUAGUUGUGAAACAUACUGGUAUUAGUGAAUAAUGGUUUGGAGACAUGCAUAUAUUUGAAUAAUGGUGGAUGAUUAAUUUA